rnacentral:rRNA from 1 species
CUGGCUCAGGACGAACGCUGGCGGCGUGCCUAAUACAUGCAAGUCGAGCGAACAGAGAAGGAGCUUGCUCCUUCGACGUUAGCGGCGGACGGGUGAGUAACACGUGGGCAACCUACCUUAUAGUUUGGGAUAACUCCGGG